CGGGGUGUGGCGCAGCUUGGUAGCGCACCUGCAUGGGGUGCAGGGGGUCGCCGGUUCAAGUCCGGCCACCCCGA
rnacentral:tRNA from 1 species